rnacentral:rRNA from 1 species
UGGCGGCAGGCCUAACACAUGCAAGUCGAGCGGUAGAGAGAAGCUUGCUUCUCUUGAGAGCGGCGGACGGGUGAGUAAUGCCUAGGAAUCUGCCUGGUAGUGGGGGAUAACGUUCGGAAACGGACGCUAAUACCGCAUACGUCCUACGGGAGAAAGCAGGGGACCUUCGGGCCUUGCGCUAUCAGAUGAGCCCAGGUCGGAUUAGCUAGUUGGUGAGGUAAUGGCUCACCAAGGCGACGAUCCGUAACUGGUCUGAGAGGAUGAUCAGUCACACUGGAACUGAGACACGGUCCAGACUCCUACGGGAGGCAGCAGUGGGGAAUAUUGGACAAUGGGCGAAAGCCUGAUCCAGCCAUGCCGCGUGUGUGAAGAAGGUCUUCGGAUUGUAAAGCACUUUAAGUUGGGAGGAAGGGUUGUAGAUUAAUACUCUGCAAUUUUGACGUUACCGACAGAAUAAGCACCGGCUAACUCUGUGCCAGCAGCCGCGGUAAUACAGAGGGUGCAAGCGUUAAUCGGAAUUACUGGGCGUAAAGCGCGCGUAGGUGGUUUGUUAAGUUGGAUGUGAAAUCCCCGGGCUCAACCUGGGAACUGCAUUCAAAACUGACUGACUAGAGUAUGGUAGAGGGUGGUGGAAUUUCCUGUGUAGCGGUGAAAUGCGUAGAUAUAGGAAGGAACACCAGUGGCGAAGGCGACCACCUGGACUAAUACUGACACUGAGGUGCGAAAGCGUGGGGAGCAAACA